GACGAACGCUGGCGGCGUGCUUAACACAUGCAAGUCGAACGGAAAGGCCCUGAUUUUGUGGCGUGCUCGAGUGGCGCACGGGUGAGUAACACGUGUGUAUCCUGCCCUUGUCUUUGGGAUAACUUUAGGGAAAUGGGGCUCAUACCGGAUAGGAUCUCCUGCUGCGUGGUGGGGGUUGGUAAGUUGCGGCGGUUGGGGCUGUACUCGCGGCUUAUGCGCUUGUUGGGGGGGUAGUGGCUUACCAAGGUUGUGACGGAUAGCCGGCUUGAGAGGGUGACCGGCCACAUGGGGACUGAGAGACGGCGCAGACUCCAACGUGAGGCAGCAGUGGAGAAUAUUGCACAAUGAGCGGAAGUCUGAUGCAGCAACGCCGCGUGCGGAAUGACGGCCUUCGGGGGGUAAACCGCUUUCGCCGGUGACGAAGCGUGAGUGACGGUAAUGGGUAAAGAAGCACCGGCUAACUACGUG
rnacentral:rRNA from 1 species